CAGCAUAUAAAAAGGUUUAGAACAAGACAAGGUGAUGACUCCAAAAGCCACCAAAUUCAAUUCCAUUUUCAUCAUCAUUAUUAUUAUUAUUAUCAUUAUUUUAUUUUUAUGCUUUCUAUGACCUGUCUGUCAUCAUAUGUUUCCCACCAUCAAAUAAUAAUGCAUCAAUAAUCUUCUUUCUUCCACUUUUUUAUUUAUUUUCCUCAUGGCUUCCCUUCUUCUUUUACUUUCUCUCUCUCAAGCUCAAUUUUUUAGUAUAUUGGAAGGGUAUGCAAAAGAAAAAAAAAAAAAAAAAUCCUUUUUUAAGGACAAGGUUGUCCAUUCUUUCCUCUUCUUGUUGAGUCUUGCAAAUGAGAGAAAGAAAAGAGAGAUAGGAAAAGGGGUGUUUGGAAUGGAGUUUGCUCCGAAAUCUUCUUCUUUCUUUUCUUUUUUGUCAAUCCUUUUGAAAGGAGAAGAAAUAAAACUACAUGUCAAUGUCUUUUUCUUUCAUUAUUUUUCAAGUUUUCUUUCUUGCUUUCUUCAAAAUUGUUAUUCUAUGUUGUUUUUUUCCCUAACUAAAAGUAGUCUUCUUCUUCUUCGUAUUUGAAAAGUUUGUUGGUGUUGAUUGAACGGAAAAAAUGAUCUCGGACCAGGCUUCAUUCCUCACACGUACCUUUUCCUUUAGUAAAUUUUGGAUAUUGGAAAGAACAAAAUAGCUUUGCUCAACUUUUCUGUAGCAACUAUUUUGUCGUGGAUUUUGUGGCGGACUUUGAGUAUUGACGCCUCAAGUUUUAUCUUAUGGAUACCUCAUCACCGGCCAACCUCCACACACAAGGGCUUCCCUACUCGAUCUUCUAGCUUGCCAACAACCAAAACUUCAACGCAUAGGUCCCUCUCAACGCAAGCUCCUCUCAACCCUUCAUCAAAUAUUCAUUUCGACCAGCACUUAGCCACUUCAACGGCAAUGGCUUCUCACCCUACCACCUCUAAAACUCCCAAAAUUUGUAUCAGUGUAAGGCAUCACACCAAUCUACUCGAAUACUUUAUAUCCACAACUUCUCAACGUCAUUCUCAUACUCCUACAAUAACUACACCACACUACUGCUGCAUACCAAAUUUCAAUAUCUCUAAUAAGGAAUUUGCAAAAUCUGUCUUUGGCAUCUCAAAAUGGCUAGAAUAGGCAUAUCAGUGCAUGAUCUCAAAUGGGUAUAAAGGUUAGCAAUUUGCUUCCUUGUAUUGAGAAUAUAAUGCUUUUGGAAAGAGUUGAAUUAAAUCAAUUAUUUUAUAGACUGGAA